AUUGAACGCUGGCGGCAUGCCUUACACAUGCAAGUCGAACGGUAACAGGUCUUCGGAUGCUGACGAGUGGCGAACGGGUGAGUAAUACAUCGGAACGUGCCUAGUAGUGGGGGAUAACUACUCGAAAGAGUGGCUAAUACCGCAUGAGAUCUACGGAUGAAAGCAGGGGAUCGCAAGACCUUGUGCUACUAGAGCGGCCGAUGGCAGAUUAGGUAGUUGGUUGGAUAAAAGCUUACCAAGCCGACGAUCUGUAGCUGGUCUGAGAGGACGAUCAGCCAGAGUGGGACUGAGACACGGCCCAGACUCCUACGGGAGGCACGAGUGGGGAAUGUUGGACAAUGGGCGCAAGCCUGAUACAGCAAUGCCGCGUGCAGGAUGAAGGCCUUCGGGUUGUAAACUGCUUUUGUACGGAACGAAAAGCCCUGGGUUAAUACCCUGGGGUCAUGACGGUACCGUAAGAAUAAGCACCGGCUAACUACGUGCCAGCCGCCGCCGUAAGAC
rnacentral:rRNA from 1 species